UACAGAGGGGGCAAGCGUUGUUCGGAAUUACUGGGCGUAAAGGGCACGUAGGCGGCCUGCUAAGUCGAACGUGAAAUCCCCGGGCUCAACCCGGGAACUGCGUCCGAUACUGGCAGGCUUGAAUCCGGGAGAGGGAUGCGGAAUUCCAGGUGUAGCGGUGAAAUGCGUAGAUAUCUGGAGGAACACCGGUGGCGAAGGCGGCAUCCUGGACCGGCAUUGACGCUGAGGCGCGAAAGCGUGGGGAGCGAACAGG
rnacentral:rRNA from 1 species